UUUUAAAAAUUCCAUCUAUUUGUAUUGUAAAAAACUAACGUGGCUGAUAGAGUAAUCACACAGUGAUAUAUGGCAUGCCAUAUGUAUUUCAUCCUGACGUACAAAGACUAAUUUUUAAUAGUAGAAAUGGAUGGAGUUUUUUUAU
rfam:Gossypium arboreum cultivar AKA8401 contig_35_9, whole genome shotgun sequence.